GGAUUCCCUUAGUAAUGGCGAAUGAACAGGGAUGAGCUCAGCAUGGAAAUCGGGGUCUCCCGACCUUGAAUUGUAGUCUGUAGAUGUACUGCCAACGGAGGCGCAGAUGUAAGCCUCUUGGAAAAGAGCAUCAACGAGGGUGAGAGUCCCGUUUGUCAUCUGCAGUCCCCCGUGCACGGUGUGCCUUCUAAGAGUCACGUUCCUCGGGAUUGGAGCGCAAAGUGGGUGGUAAAUUUCAUCUAAAGCUAAAUAUUGGUUCGAGACCGAUAGCAAACAAGUACCAUGAGGGAAAGGUGAAAAGGACUUUGAAAAGAGAGUUAAAAGUGCCUGAAAUUGCUGAAAGGGAAGCGAAUGGAACCAGUGUUCUUGAUGAGAUUGUUGCGUACUCUGGUGAUUGCUGGGUGUUCCACCGCAAGGGGGGCAUCUAGUUUUGAGCUAGAUGUGCGUGGUGUUUCUUGUCUUGUGUGUCACCGUCGGUGCACGAGCGAGUAAACCUCCAGGGGGCUGGUAACUCGACCACGGUUGAGUGAAUACCUUUGGCAGUACUCAUUUGUGUAUCGAUCCCUGCGUGUCUGGUUGCAGUGUUUGGGUCGCCUGGAAACUCCUGAAGGGCUUGUCCUCGAAGGAGUCCUUUUGGGCGCCCUGAGCAUCUCCCUGACACAAAGACGA
rnacentral:rRNA from 1 species